rnacentral:rRNA from 1 species
UACGUAGGUGGCAAGCGUUGUCCGGAUUACUGGGCGUAAAGAGCGCGCAGGCGGUCAGAUAAGUCGAAUGUGAAAGCCCCCGGCUCAACUGGGGAGGGUCAUUCGAUACUGUUCGACUCGAAGGCAGGAGAGGGAAGUGGAAUUCCCGGUGUAGUGGUGAAAUGCGUAGAUAUCGGGAGGAACACCAGUGGCGAAGGCGGAUCUCUGGGCCAUUACUGACGCUGAGGAGCGAAAGCGUGGGGAGCGAACAGGA